AUUGAACGCUGGCGGCAGGCCUAACACAUGCAAGUCGAACGGUAACAGGAAACAGCUUGCUGUUUCGCUGACGAGUGGCGGACGGGUGAGUAAUGUCUGGGUAACUGCCUGAUGGAGGGGGAUAACUACUGGAAACGGUAGCUAAUACCGCAUAACGUCGCAAGACCAAAGAGGGGGACCUUCGGGCCUCUUGCCAUCGGAUGUGCCCAGAUGGGAUUAGCUGGUAGGUGGGGUAACGGCUCACCUAGGCGACGAUCCCUAGCUGGUCUGAGAGGAUGACGAGCCACACUGGAACUGAGACACGGUCCAGACUCCUACGGGAGGCAGCAGUGGGGAAUAUUGCACAAUGGGCGCAAGCCUGAUGCAGCCAUGUCGCGUGUAUGAAGAAGGCCUUCGGGUUGUAAAGUACUUUCAGCGGGGAGGAAGUGAGUAAAGUUAAUACCUUUGCUCAUUGACGUUACCCGCAGAAGAAGCACCGGCUAACUCCGUGCCAGCAGCCGCAGUAA
rnacentral:rRNA from 1 species